rnacentral:rRNA from 1 species
AAGUAGUGCCUAUGCGCUAUUUAGUGGCAAACGGGUGAGUAACACGUAGCUUAGCUGUCCUAAAGUGGGGGAUAGCCGCGGGAAGCCGCGGGUAAUACCGCAUGUGAUCUACGGAUUAAAGCUUAAUGCGCUUUAGGAGGUGGCUGCGGCCCAUCAGGUUGUUGGCGGGGUAAUGGCCCACCAAGCCUAUGACGGGUACCCGGCCUGAGAGGGUGAUCGGACACAUUGGAACUGAGACACGGUCCAGACUCCUACGGGAGGCAGCAGCUAGGAAUUUUCCGCAAUGGACGAAAGUCUGACGGAGCAACGCCGCGUGAAGGAUGAAGGUCUUUAGGGAUUGUAAACUUCUUUUAUAUGAGACGAGUAAGGACGGUAUCAUAAGAAUAAGUCCCGGCUAACUACGUGCCAGCAGCCGCGGUAAUACGUAGGGGGCUAGCGUUGUUCGGAAUUACUGGGUAUAAAGGGUGCGCAGGCGGAUUUCUAAGCAAGAGGUGAAAUGUCAAGGCUCAACCAUGGCACUGCCUUUUGAACUGGUUAUCUGGAGUACAGAAGGGGAGAGCAGAAUUUCCGGUGUAGGGGUGGAAUCUAUAGAUAUCGGAA